GUCAGUAACACUUAGGUGCUUUUGAUUUGAAAUCAGAAUGUUUGUUUUUAUUAACAAUAUUGACU
rnacentral:tRNA from 1 species